UACGUAGGGUGCGAGCGUUGUCCGGAAUUAUUGGGCGUAAAGAGCGUGUAGGCGGCCAGGUAGGUCCGCUGUGAAAACUCGAGGCUUAACCUCGAGAUGUCGGUGGAAACCGUCUGGCUAGAGUCCGGAAGAGGAGAGUGGAAUUCCUGGUGUAGCGGUGAAAUGCGCAGAUAUCAGGAAGAACACCCGUGGCGAAGGCGGCUCUCUGGGACGGUACUGACGCUGAGGCGCGAAAGCGUGGGGAGCGAACAGG
rnacentral:rRNA from 1 species